rnacentral:lncRNA from 1 species
AGAUAAGAAGUCAAAUAUCAUCAUUUUCUAGAUGGCUAUGCAAUUUGUCCACUCUCAGCUGGGAUUCAAAUCCAAUUGUUUCAACAUUCAGCCUAGUGUUCUCUGCACAGCCCAUAUUACACGUAUGAAAUGUCCUUGAAAACAACACUGUGAAGAUCUCUUUCAAGUUUCACACUGCACGAAGAUCAUGCUCUGACUAGCCCACUGCCCCAAGGAGAAUGGAAAACAUGGGGAAAAGUCCAUCUAACCCACAGACUUGAGGUCUGGAAGCAAACCCAGCUA